rnacentral:rRNA from 1 species
UACGAAGGGGGCUAGCGUUGCUCGGAAUUACUGGGCGUAAAGCGCACGUAGGCGGAUCUUUAAGUCAGGGGUGAAAUCCUGGAGCUCAACUCCAGAACUGCCUUUGAUACUGAGGGUCUUGAGUUCGGGAGAGGUGAGUGGAACUGCGAGUGUAGAGGUGAAAUUCGUAGAUAUUGGGAAGAACACCGGUGGCGAAGGCGGCGACCUGGUCCGAUACUGACGCUGAGGCGCGAAAGCGUGGGGAGCAAACAG